CCAGAUAAUCGGGCAGUUGCUGGUAACUUGGCUUACCAGAGGAAAGUCCGGGCUCUACGAAUAAAUGAUGCCGGAUAACGUCCGGCGGGGGAAACCCUAGGGAAAGUGCCACAGAAAAUAUACCGCCGAAUUCGGUAAGGGUGAAAAGGUGCGGUAAGAGCGCACCGCAUAUUCAGUAAUGAAUAUGGCAUGGAAAACCCCAUCAAGAGCAAGACCAAGUAGGAGCAACCAACCCCUAGGGGUUAGAUGGUUAUUCGCAUCGUUGCUCGGGUCGGUCGCAUGAGGUCAUAGGCAACUAUGCCCCUAGAUGAAUGACUGCCUUGCUUAUAGCAAACAGAACCCGGCUUAUAGAUUAUCUGGCUUU
rnacentral:RNase_P_RNA from 1 species